GAUGAACGCUAGCUACAGGCUUAACACAUGCAAGUCGAGGGGCAGCGCAGUGUAGCAAUACACGGGCGGCGACCGGCGCACGGGUGCGUAACGCGUAUCCAACCUUCCCGUUACUCAGGGAUAGCCUUCCGAAAGGGAGAUUAAUACCUGAUGGUGUUUGAAUUCCGCAUGUUAUUCAAACUAAAGAUUUAUCGGUAACGGAUGGGGAUGCGUGACAUUAGAUAGUAGGCAGGGUAACGGCCCACCUAGUCUACGAUGUCUAGGGGUUCUGAGAGGAAGGUCCCCCACACUGGAACUGAGACACGGUCCAGACUCCUACGGGAGGCAGCAGUGAGGAAUAUUGGUCAAUGGUCGGAAGACUGAACCAGCCAAGUAGCGUGAAGGAUGAAGGUUCUAUGGAUUGUAAACUUCUUUUAUACGGGAAUAAAACCCCCCACGUGUGGGAGCUUGUAUGUACCGUAUGAAUAAGCAUCGGCUAACUCCGUGCCAGCCGCCGCCGUAACAC
rnacentral:rRNA from 1 species